GCAGGGAUGGCGAACCUUUAUGCGUAUACGUGCCAAUUUUCUGGAAUAAUAUUUAAUGACGUCGCAGCCGUGCCAUCAAAUAUUCUUGACUUUGUGAUCAGUGGAAAAAUAAUGUAAAAAAACAAUAUCAACUCAAAGCUCUAUAUUUACCAAAAAUACAAUUACAAGAGCAAUUAAAAAUUAGUGCGACUUCUGUUGUUGCAGAUUGGACGAUAAUUGACUUAUAUUGGGGUUGUACGAUGUUACUUUUAGCAGAAUGCAUGCUGAACUUGAUUCAUCAGUCAGUCUAUUUCUAACAGAGUCUUUGAUGUUAUUCAUCUCUGAAAACAAUGACUCGCAGGCAUAUGUUGAUGAAAAUACAGUUAGAAUAGCGUGAGCCAGCUUCUUUAAACAAUUAAAUGUUUCUGGCAACGCAUUCCAGGUUUCUAAAAUUUUAUUAUUGGCAUCUUUACUUAUAUUACUGGUCAAUCUUUCUGUUUCAAUUAACUCUAAUUCUUUUCUCAUGUCUAUGAAUUUUUGUAUCCAAAUUGAACUAGAUUGGAAAUCAAUCAGCUGCAUUUCAAAAUCUUCAAUUUCCAACCAAUUGAACUGGGAGAAGUUCAGUGUAUGAAAGGUCGUUACAUCUGGGUACAUAAUAAACUUGACCGUUUCUGAUAAUUCUUUGACCCGACCCGAACGCUCGCGCGCGUUUGCUUUUCAAAGAUUCAUAGGUAUUAUGCUACAUCAUAAUCAUAAUUUAUACUUUUUUCUUUAAACUCGUAAUCAGUGACGUGCCGAAAUUAUUUCGUCGCGUGCCAGCAAUGGCACGCGUGCCAUUGGUUCGCCAUCCCUGUUAUAGGCUGAGAA